rnacentral:lncRNA from 1 species
AGGAGCACAUUCUAAACUUCCUUGCUCUUUUCUAAAAAUUAGCCAAGCUAUUCUAAAAAGAACAAAAUUUGAAGACAUUACAUAAAUUAAGAGAGUAUGGCAUUGGCACUUGGAUAGACAGGAAUGUAAUACAUAUAUUGGUCUAUCAGUCAGAAAACAAAACACUGUAAAAAAUUAAAAUCAUUUCAAAUUAGUAGAAUUUUAGUCAUGUUUUUUGUUGUUGUUGGAUAACAUGGCAGAACGAGUCUACCAGAUCAAUAAUUUCACUUCCUUUACUGCAUCCUGUUGACCAGGUCCAGCUUCCACUUCAAAGUUACCUCACGUUGUCCACAUUGAUACUGCCGCAAAAAAAUGAAGUAAUAUUUCUCAAGGACAUAUUGCUUGAAUUAGAAGAAAAAAAUUUCCAUAAGAUUGCCCAAGAAAAGAACAUAUGUGUUCACUAUAAUUCCCACUGGAAAAUUGAAGUCUUUUAGAUUCAUGUUAUACUUUAUAGAAAUGCAGU